GACGUAGGGCGCGAGCGUUGUCCGGAAUUAUUGGGCGUAAAGAGCUCGUAGGCGGCUUGUUGCGUCGACUGUGAAAGCCCGUGGCUUAACCGCGUGGUCUGCAGUCGAUACGGGCAGGCUAGAGUUCGGUAGGGGAGACUGGAAUUCCGGGUGUAGCGGUGGAAUGCGUAGAGAUCCGGAAGAACACCGGUGGCGAAGGCGGCCUGCUGGGCAGUGGCUGACACUGAGGCGCGGCAGCGUGGGGAGCAAACAGG
rnacentral:rRNA from 1 species